AACACCAUUCUUCGCUGUCGAUAAGUUGAAGAUAAUACCCACCCCUGUCUGUCAUCGAUGUUAACCUCAAUUUGUCAUUUUUCCCAAACUGCGUUUGACAGACGUCAAAAUCUCGAAUUUCUGGAGCUUUUUUGUUUUCCGAUCUCGCUCCUAGGUCGAGAGUAUUUGCUAGACUCGCUUAUUUGUCGUUCGUUUGGUAUUGUGUGUGAGGAUACCUCACUGCGAGGUGAACCCAAAAAACAACCGUAACCCGGAAAUUAAAAAAAAAGAGUUACAAAUCGAAUCUCCGUUUUCUCGUCUUUGAAUCGACCUCCAUCCGCGUAUCUUCUCAAAAAUAAACACAAUCGUCGCGAUCUCGAUGGAGAGGCAAAAUAGAAACGUAUCGGGCGAUGAAUUAUAAACGAAACUCAGCAUGGGCUGGGUGGAAUUUUAUUUACUUGCAAGAGUUUUUCAUGCGACCACGUAUAUGAUAGGUAUCCAGCAGGUUCAAAGUCGGAUAUUUUUAGAUGAAGGUGGAAGAUUUCAUUAAACUGCAACCUUAACUCGAUUUUGAAUACCUACCGAAGAUUUUAAUUUUCUGCGUUACUUUUUACCAACUCUGUUUAUAUCUCGUUAAUUAUACGUAUUUAUUGUGUUCUCUAUUCUUAUUCAGGACCUCUAGUUUUGAGUGCAAGAUGAAAUCAUCGAAAUGUAACUCAGGUACUAUAAACGUGAAUAAAUAUUUUCUUCUGUUCAUGA